rnacentral:lncRNA from 1 species
GGAAGAAUAGGAAGAACCAUGAUGAGAGAAAGAAGAUGUAUUAGAUUGAUAAGAGUUAGAGUUACAAAUGGAGGCACACUUUAGUAUUUAUAGAGAACAAACUCUAGGUCUAAGGGGGUGUGUACAAAGACAAUCAUACCCUCUCUUAGCCUUGUAACCCGAGUAACCCAAGUAACCUGUAACCCGAGUAAUCCAAGUAACCUGUAACCCGAGUAACCCAAGUAACCUGUAACCCGAGUAACCCAAGUAACCUACAUUUAACCCUUAACUAGGACAUAGUUAGUGUUAACUGUCUUCUUGAUUAACACUCCCCCUCAAGUUUAUACCACAAUGCCCAAUUGUGUAUAAACUUGACACUUGUAUGAAUAACCUCAUUAAAAACCUAAGCUUGG